CACCGGAAGGGGCUGGGCACCGGAGCGGUGCCGUUGGGACGGCGAGGGCGCCCCCCAGCGGACGGAGCGCCCGGACGGCUUUGCCAGGAUGGGACCGAAGGGAGCCUAUAAACAGCUGGACCCCCCGGAGGAGCCUCGGCCGCCCCCCCCCAAGCGCCGCCCCCUCUGCUCCUUCCUCCUCCUCCUCCUCCUCCU